rnacentral:rRNA from 1 species
AUUGAACGCUGGCGGCAGGCCUAACACAUGCAAGUCGAACGAGUGGCGGACGGGUGAGUAAUGUCUGGGAAACUGCCUGAUGGAGGGGGAUAACUACUGGAACCGGUAGCUAAUACCGCAUACCAUCAGAUGUGCCCAGAUGGGAUUAGCUUGUUGGUGGGGUAGCGGCUCACCAAGGCGACGAUCCCUAGCUGGUCUGAGAGGAUGACAAGCCACACUGGAACUGAGACACGGUCCAGACUCAUACGGGAGGCAGCAGGGGGGAAUAUUGGACAAUGGGCGCAAGCCUGAGGCAGCCAUGCCGCGUGUAGGAAGAAGGCCUUCGGGUUGUAAAGGACUUUAAGUGGGGAGGCGUUACCAGAAGAAGAAGCACCGGCUAACUCCGUGCCAGCAGCCGCGGUAAUUC